CUGUGUUCCCGAAUCAACCACUGGCUGUGAUCCUGACCGGUUGCCUCUGGAGUUAUACAAAGUCUGGUGCAAUUCCUGAUCUCUGCCUUGGAUGAGACUGUAGCUUGGCCUGGAGGAGUAUAGCACCUUUUCCAGUGCUAUGAUAUCCUUUUUGAGAUCCCUUCCCCGGCAGCUUUGCUCAGCAGAUACCCAGGUUCCCAGAUUCAGAUCUCUAACAAGCAUCUAGUUUGGCUUUCGGUUUAGUUGUUGACUUCUGAUUAACGGGAGCAUUCUAGCAGUGGGCCUGUUCUACUAGUAUGUGAGGUUCCAAGCAAUCAGCGGCCUGAUGUUAGGCUUGCAAACCCCUCAGUACUCCAGAAGAUCUAAGUCAAGCCCAAGAUGCAACAGCAUCCCAGCUGCCAUUGGCUCAGCUGAUUUAACAUCGAAAUUCCAUGUGUUCCUACAUUAGUGGGUCAUGAGAAGAUGCAUAGUGCAAAGGUGCUGCAUGGAAGCGAAAACAUCUUUUCCAUUGACAUGCUCUCUCCCAUUGCCACCACACACACCUACCUACCUUAUAAGUCUUGCCUUCAGUCUCUCCAGUCGACUGUGUGGAGCACAGAGAUAAAUAUCCAAUCCGAAUGACAGGUAUUAUACUCUGUUACACUAAUGUUCUGAUUAAUGAGUUCUUUCCAUUCAUUGUGUGCAUUCACUUUGAUUCAUCCUGAUGGCUGUACUGUAUAAUAGACUAUGUACUGUAAUUCUCCCUCCAUUGUUGCUGCUUAAUAAUUUGGUAUGAUGUUAUCUGGGUAAUUUUUGACUAACAUCAAUGAACUACAUUUUGUUAUAAUUCAAUUAAA